UACGGAGGGUGCGAGCGUUGUCCGGAAUCACUGGGCGUAAAGGGCGCGUAGGCGGCGCGGAUAGUCGGCGGUGAAAGCCCGGAGCUCAACUCCGGGUCGGCCGUCGAUACUUCCGGGCUUGAGCACUGUAGAGGCAGAUGGAAUUCCGGGUGUAGCGGUGGAAUGCGUAGAGAUCCGGAAGAACACCGGUGUCGAAGGCGGUCUGCUGGGCAGUUGCUGACGCUGAUGCGCGACAGCGUGGGGAGCAAACAGG
rnacentral:rRNA from 1 species